rnacentral:rRNA from 1 species
UACGUAGGGCGCAAGCGUUGUCCGGAUUCACUGGGUGUAAAGGGUGCGCAGGCGGACUGGCAAGUCAGGGGUGAAAUCUCACAGCUCAACUGUGAAACUGCCUUUGAUACUGCUGGUCUUGAGUCAGGGAGAGGUUGAUGGAAUUCCAGGUGUAGCGGUGAAAUGCGUAGAUAUCUGGAAGAACACCGGUGGCGAAGGCGGGUCUCUGGACAGUUCCUGACGCUGAGGCACGAAGGUCAGGGGAGCAAACGGG